CCUACGGGUGGCAGCAGUGAGGAAUAUUGGUCAAUGGCCGGAAGGCUGAACCAGCCAUGCCGCGUGAAGGUCAGUGCCCUAUGGGCGUUAAACUUUUUUUGUGCGGGAGCAAUAAUGGUCACGUGUGGCCAGACGAGAGUACCGUACGAAUAAGCAUCGGCUAACUCCGUGCCAGCAGCCGCGGUAAUACGGGGGAUGCGAGCGUUUUCCGGAUUUUUUGGGUUUAAAGGGUGCGUUGGCUGGGAGGUAAGGCAGCGGUGAAAUGCCCCCGGCUAACGGGGUGAAGUGCCAUUGAUACUGCCUGGCUGGAAUGCGGAUGCCGUAGGAGGAAUGUGUGGUGUAGCGGUGAAAUGCAUAGAUAUCACACAGAACACCGAUUGCGAAGGCAGCUCACGAAUCCGCGAUUGACGCUGAUGCACGAAAGCGUGGGUAUCAAACAGGAUUAGAUACCCGUGUAGUC
rnacentral:rRNA from 1 species